UACCUCAAAAAACCACAACAGUCUGUUUCAUCCGUAUAGGAAUCAUGAUGAUUCCUAUACGGAUGAAACAGACUGUUGUGGUUUUU